ACCUAGGAACUCCUCAUCAGAGGUGUCUUGAAUCAACUGGCAAAGUUUGUCCUUUUCCUGAGACUCCAACUCCUCAGCUGUAGGAAAGCACAUUUUUAAGUUACAGACAUGUGCUGUACGUACAUCCUCUCCGGUGUCUUCCAGGGCUAUUCGAUAAUUCACCGGACCCAGUUGCUGCACAAUACGGUAAGGCCCCUUCCAUUUCGGUGCUAAUUUUGCAGAAAAAUUACGUAAUGCACUAGACUGAGGGAAGUUACGUAACCAUACACGAUCUUUGUCUUGGAAUGUUAAGUCUCUCCUUUUGUUGUUAUAAUUUCUCAGUUGUCUCUUCUUGGCUUUCACACUGUUUUCUUUGGCUUGCUGUUGGAGUUGAUGAAGAUGAUGAAAUACAUUAUAGGAAUCAGCAUCUGGAGUCAAAUUAGUGUUAUGCAGGAUUUUGUCCAUAGGACCUUGGAGUUUUCUGCCAAGUUGGAGUUCUGCAGGCAUUAGUCCAAUAGUUUCUUGGACAGCUGAAUUUAAAGCAAAACGGAAUUCAGCUCUCUGAAGACAGAAGAAACAAAUUGGACACCCCUGUCUGAGAUGAUGAAAUCUGGUACACCCCAUCGAGUCAGAAUUUCUUUUCUGAAGAUAGUGGCAAUAUUCAGGGCAGUAGCACUUCGCAUUGGGAACAAUUCCACCCAUCGAGAGUAGUAAUCGACAAAAACAAGUUGUGCACGCUCUUACAUGACGUUUCACGUCAGACCACAUGCCCGGCCAGAAAGCCACAUUCUGGAGCCUCUUAUAAGUCUUGAAGAUCCCUCCAUGACCACUUAGAGGGCUGGAAUGGUAGUGUUGCAGGAAUGAGGAUCUGAGACUGCUGGGAAUGUAAACUCUGUAGUGCAGCUGGUUGUUCGACAGGACCCAACGGAUGAGAUGGCUGGUGGUUUUGGUAGAAUUCAUGACCCAUUGGAGUGCAGAAUGGUCAGUGACAUCUGUAAAGAGUUUGUAUUCUAGGUCUUUACGUUGUGCCAGGAUGGCUCCUAAACCAGUAUCACUGGCAUCCGUAUAUACAAUGAAGGGAAGCUGAAAGUCGGGAUGGCCAAGGAUAGGAGGUGUGUGAGUUUAGGGGUUCGGCUAUUCUUGAGAAAUUUGGGACAAAACGAUGGUACCACCCCGCCAAUCCAAGAAACCUCUGAACAUCCUUCACAUUCUUAGGCACAGGGUAGGUUUGAAUGGCUUGUGUUUUGCUUGGGUCUGCUGUA